UACGUAGGAUGCUAGCGUUGUCCGGAUUUACUGGGCGUAAAGCGCGAGCAGGCGGCACUGUAAGUAAGGUGUGAAAUCUCCCUGCUCAACGGGGAGGGUGCACUUUAGACUGCAGAGCUAGAGGACGGUAGAGGGGGGUGGAAUUGCUGGUGUAGCGGUGAAAUGCGUAGAGAUCAGCAGGAACACCCGUGGCGAAGGCGGCCCCCUGGGCCGAACCUGACGCUGAGGCGCGAAGGCUAGGGGAGCGAACGGG
rnacentral:rRNA from 1 species